GGAAGGACUAGGCUACUUUUAGAUUUACACUUUAUCCCUCCAUAGUAUUUCCUCCAUAGUAUUUGCUUUACAUGCGUGGUUUAAUAGUUUAAAAUAUUUUCCUUUUCAAUCAUGAACAUAAUUAUAAAGACAUCGUAUGUAAGCAUCCAUGCGUAAAGAUCAACCCGUACAGACUUGUUUGAAUUAAUGUGUUGCGCCAUUCGGAGAUGUGCUUAGCCUACUCUGUAAUUUAACCAGUUUCUGUUUCUACUGUGUGCAUAAGGGCCCAAAGUGGCAUUUGUAUUUAUACCGUGCAUCAAUUAUAUUUUGUGCACACAUCCAGAUACUCAGCUCGUUUGUGUGAUUACUUUUUUUAGGGACGGGAGAGAUUCUCUGAUUAUUUAUUUGAAUGGUGGUGGACAGGUCGCGGUUAUCCGGACAGGAGCCUAUUACGCCCUGUCUUAAAUCGCUGGAUAACAAAGUAGUCUUACUAUCCUUCUCUUCCUUUUCAAUCACUUCCUCCUCCUCCUCUUCUACUCCUUCCAUCCCCUCAUCCAUCUCUCUCCUCUUCCACCACACACAUCCCUCCCCUCUCCUGUAGUACCUCAUUCGCCUCCCCCCCUCUGCAGUGAUGGCGGCAUGUCUCCUCUUUUUCUUUCUUCUCAACUACCACUUUAAUUCCUUGCCUCUCCUCCUCUUCCUCGACCUCUGUAAGCUCCGUUUCCAGUUUUCUCAGCUCCAGGGGGUCUCAGGCUGUGCAGGCAAGGGCCUGGAUCGGGGCAGAGGGGGCAGACUGGCCUGAGGAAGAGAGAGGGUCCGGGAUGGGACAGAG
rnacentral:lncRNA from 1 species